rnacentral:rRNA from 1 species
CCUACGGGAGGCAGCAGUGAGGAAUAUUGGUCAAUGGGCGGAAGCCUGAACCAGCCAAGUCGCGUGAGGGACUAAGGCCCUACGGGUCGUAAACCUCUUUUGCCGGGGAUCAGUGCCCAGCUCGCGAGCUGGGAGGGAGCGUACCCGGAGAAAAAGCAUCGGCUAACUCCGUGCCAGCAGCCGCGGUAAUACGGGGGAUGCGAGCGUUAUCCGGAUUUAUUGGGUUUAAAGGGUGCGUAGGCGGGCCUUCAGGCCGGCGGUAAAAUGGCGGGGCUCAACCCCGCCGAGACGUCGGAACCGGGUGCCGUGAGGACCGGAGAGGUACGCGGAAUGCGUGGUGUAGCGGUGAAAGGCAGAGAUAGCACGCAGAAACCCGAUUGCGAAGGCAGCGUAGCGGCCGGGCACUGACGCUGAGGCACGAAAGCGCGGGUAUCGAACAGGAUUAGAUACCCUGGUAGUC